UGUUUCGCCAUGCCAGAGAUGUUACUGCAUGAUGUUGGUCUUUGAUAAAUGUUUGACUGUCAGAUCUACAAGCAGAAGUACUUCAGCCCAUUUCAUCCAACACAUCGUCUCCCAACACACUUAUUUCCAUCCAGGGGAAGAGAUAGUAACAGAGUACCUGAUUAGAUGGUGCGAAGAUACUUUUAUAAAUAACCAGAACCUGUGCCAUGGGCCUUAA
ensembl:lncRNA